rnacentral:tRNA from 1 species
GGAGGGAUGGCCGAGCGGUUUAAGGCACCGGUCUUGAAAACCGGCGAAGGGAUGUCCCCUUCCCUCCG